rnacentral:rRNA from 1 species
CCGUGGGCGUUGGAAAUUUGAGAGGAUCUGCUCCUAGUACGAGAGGACCAGAGUGGACGAACCUCUGGUGUUUCGGUUGUGACGCCAGUCGCAUUGCCGAGUAGCUAUGUUCGGAUGGGAUAACCGCUGAAAGCAUCUAAGCGGGAAGCCCACCUUAAGAUUAGAUUUCCCUAAAGAGCCGUUGUAGACUACGACGUUGAUAGGUUGGGUGUGGAAGCACAGCGAUGUGUGUAGCUAACCAAUACUAAUUGCUCGUUUGGCUUGACUAUACAACGCCUAA